GCCGCGGUGGCGCAAUGGGUAGCGCGUCAGCCUUCUAUCUUUGUGAAGCUGAAAGUUGUGGGUUCGAUCCCCACCCGUGGUG